rnacentral:rRNA from 1 species
AUUGAACGCUGGCGGCAGGCUUAACACAUGCAAGUCGAGCGGGGGAAGGUAGCUUGCUACCGGACCUAGCGGCGGACGGGUGAGUAAUGCUUAGGAAUCUGCCUAUUAGUGGGGGACAACAUCUCGAAAGGGAUGCUAAUACCGCAUACGUCCCACGGGAGAAAGCAGGGGAUCUUCGGACCUUGCGCUAAUAGAUGAGCCUAAGUCGGAUUAGCUAGUUGGUGGGGUAAAGGCCUACCAAGGCGACGAUCUGUAGCGGGUCUGAGAGGAUGAUCCGCCACACUGGGACUGAGACACGGCCCAGACUCCUACGGGAGGCAGCAGUGGGGAAUAUUGGACAAUGGGGGGAACCCUGAUCCAGCCAUGCCGCGUGUGUGAAGAAGGCCUUAUGGUUGUAAAGCACUUUAAGCGAGGAGGAGGCUACUCUAGUUAAUACCUAGGGAUAGUGGACGUUACUCGCAGAAUAAGCACCGGCUAACUCUGUGCCAGCCGCCGCAGUAACAC